UGGGGAAUUUUGGACAAUGGGCGAAAGCCUGAUCCAGCAAUGCCGCGUGCAGGAUGAAGGCCUUCGGGUUGUAAACUGCUUUUGUACGGAACGAAAAAGCUUCUCCUAAUACGAGAGGCCCAUGACGGUACCGUAAGAAUAAGCACCGGCUAACUACGUGCCAGCAGCCGCGGUAAUACGGAGGGUGCGAGCGUUAAUCGGAAUUACUGGGCGUAAAGCGUGCGCAGGCGGUUAUGUAAGACAGAGGUGAAAUCCCCGGGCUCAACCUGGGAACUGCAUUUGGGACUGCAUGGCUAGAGUACGGGAGAGGGGGAUGGAAUUCCGCGUGUAGCCGUGAAAUGCGUAGAUAUGCGGAGGAACACCGAUGGCGAAGGCAAUCCCCUGGACCUGUACUGACGCUCAUGCACGAAAGCGUGGGGAGCAAACA
rnacentral:rRNA from 1 species